AGUGAACGCUGGCGGUAGGCCUAACACAUGCAAGUCGAACGGCAGCACAGUAAGAGCUUGCUCUUACGGGUGGCGAGUGGCGGACGGGUGAGGAAUACAUCGGAAUCUACUUUUUCGUGGGGGAUAACGUAGGGAAACUUACGCUAAUACCGCAUACGACCUACGGGUGAAAGCAGGGGAUCUUCGGACCUUGCGCGAUUGAAUGAGCCGAUGUCGGACUAGCUAGUUGGCGGGGUAAAGGCCCACCAAGGCGACGAUCCGUAGCCGGUCUGAGAGGAUGAUCGGCCACACUGGAACUGAGACACGGUCCAGACUCCUACGGGAGGCAGCAGUGGGGAAUAUUGGGCAAUGGGCGCAAGCCUGAUCCAGCCAUACCGCGUGGGUGAAGAAGGCCUUCGGGUUGUAAAGCCCUUUUGUUGGGAAAGAAAAGCAGCAGGUUAAUACCCCGCUGUUCUGACGGUACCCAAAGAAUAAGCACCGGCUAACUUCGUG
rnacentral:rRNA from 1 species